rnacentral:rRNA from 1 species
UACAGAGGGUGCGAGCGUUAAUCGGAAUUACUGGGCGUAAAGCGCGCGUAGACGGUUUUGUAAGUCAGAUGUGAAAUCCCCGGGCUCAACCUGGGAACUGCAUUUGAGACUGCAUGGCUAGAGUAUGGAAGAGGGAAGUGGAAUUUCCGGUGUAGCGGUGAAAUGCGUAGAUAUCAGGAGGAACACCGGUGGUGUAGACGGCUUCCUGGACCAUUACUGACGCUGAGACACGAAAGCGUGGGUAGCAAACAGG